rnacentral:snRNA from 1 species
CUGCUCACUUUGACAGCACAUAUACAAAUAUUGGAACAAUACAAGGGAAGAUUAGCAUGGCCACUGUGCAAUGAUCACAUGUAAAUUCAUGAAGCGUUCCAUGUUUUC